UCUGGCUCAGGACGAACGCUGGCGGCAGGCCUAACACAUGCAAGUCGAGCGAGAUCUUCGGAUCUAGCGGCGGACGGGUUAGUAACGCGUGGGAACGUACCCAAAGGUAGGGAAUAGCCACUGGAAACGGUGAGUAAUACCCUAUGUGCCCUUCGGGGGAAAGAUUUAUCGCCUUUGGAUCGGCCCGCGUUAGAUUAGAUAGUUGGUGGGGUAACGGCCUACCAAGUCUACGAUCUAUAGCUGGUUUUAGAGGAU
rnacentral:rRNA from 1 species